rnacentral:rRNA from 1 species
GACGAACGCUGGCGGCGUGCUUAACACAUGCAAGUCGAACGGAAAGGCCCUGCUUUUGUGGGGUGCUCGAGUGGCGAACGGGUGAGUAACACGUGAGUAACCUGCCCUUGACUUUGGGAUAACUUCAGGAAACUGGGGCUAAUACCGGAUAGGAGCUCCUGCUGCAUGGUGGGGGUUGGAAAGUUUCGGCGGGUGGGGAUGGACUCGCGGCUUAUCAGCUUGUAGGUGGGGUAGUGGCUAACCAAGGCUUUGACGGGUAGCCGGCCGUAUAGGGUGACCGGCCACAUCGGGCCUGCAAUACGGCCCAGACUCCUACGGGAGGCAGCAGUGGGGAAUAUUGCACAAUGGGCGGAAGCCUGAUGCAGCAAAGCCGCGUGCGGUAUGAAGGCCUUCGGGUUGUAAACCGCUUUCGCCUGUGACGAAGCGUGAGUGACGGUAAUGGGUAAAGAAGCACCGGCUAACUACGUG